rnacentral:rRNA from 1 species
UUCCAGACUCCUACGGGAGGCAGCAGUGGGGGAUAUUGCACAAUGGGGGGAACCCUGAUGCAGCGACGCCGCGUGGGUGAAGAAGUAUUUCGGUAUGUAAAGCCCUAUCGGCAGGGAAGAAAUUGGACGGUACCUGACUAAGAAGCCCCGGCUAACUACGUGCCAGCAGCCGCGGUAAUACGUAGGGGGCAAGCGUUAUCCGGAUUUACUGGGUGUAAAGGGAGCGUAGACGGCGAUGCAAGUCUGAAGUGAAAGGCGGGGGCCCAACCCCCGGACUGCUUUGGAAACUGUAUAGCUGGAGUGCAGGAGAGGUAAGUGGAAUUCCUAGUGUAGCGGUGAAAUGCGUAGAUAUUAGGAGGAACACCAGUGGCGAAGGCGACUUUCUGGACAGUAACUGACGUUGAGGCACGAAAGUGUGGGGAGCAAACAGGAUUAGAUACCCCAGUA